GCAGUGGUGGUUUAGUGGUAGAAUUCUUACUUUUCAUGCAGGAGACCUGGGUUCGAUUCUUAGCCUAUAUA
rnacentral:tRNA from 1 species